rnacentral:rRNA from 1 species
UACAGAGGCUUCGAGCGUUAGGCGGAAUCACUGGGCUUAAAGCGUGUGUAGGCGGAUGCCUAAGUACCUUGUGAACUCCCACGGCUUAACCGUGGAACUGCUUGGUAUACUGGGUGUCUUGAGCCACUCAGGGGCUACCGGAACAAAUGGUGGAGCGGUGAAAUGCGUAGAUAUCAUUUGGAACGCCAAUGGUGAAAACAGGUAGCUGGGGGUGUGCUGACACUGAGACACGAAAGCCAGGGGAGCAAACGGG